rnacentral:lncRNA from 1 species
AGAGAUUUUUGCAGUAGCUUAGACACAGAUAAUCAUCCUGUAGAAGGUAGAGGAAUUGCAUGUGGUAAUGCACACCUGAAAUCUUCACCACUGGAAGGCUGAUGGGGAAGGAUAGUAAGAAGCAAACCUGAGCUACAAUACAAAACCCUGCUUCAGUAAAAAGGAAGGAAGAUAGAGAAUGUAAAACCGGAAUACAUGACUCGAAUCAGGGCUCGUCCAACUGAAUCAGCGGUAGAAAAUCAAGAAAGCAUGCAAUGUUGUCACAAUGUGAAAAAUAAAGAUUCAUGGCCUGAUGACAAGUCAGUCAUUCAUUGUUGUUCCAGUGAAUCCAUGUUACUUAGCCUACAGAAAAUUUGAAAUGCUAUGCAAGCAUAAUAACAUGAAAUGGUGUAUCAUGACAACAUUGCAUAAGAUGGCUAUAAUUGUACCACAAAUUUGAGGUAGUACAUUCAACAAGAUCCCGUUGAUUAGAUUCCAAUCAACUACUGAGUAGAUAUCUCAUAAACCUGAAGGGUUUUGUUUGUCUGAAAAAAAUCCUCAUUAUGUAGUAAGAAGCUGUAACAAGUGAUUUCCAUCUACACUGGCAUUUCCCUGCUGGAAGCUCAGACGAUCUUUCUGUUUGAUCAUUUUCAAAAGCUACAAAGGGAAGCUCUGUGUGGAUAAGUAAGUUGUUGGCAUUUACUCUGGCAAAAAGAUCAGUGUGAAACUAAUGUGUCAUUUCCUUAAAAGUGGUCAGAAUAAUUUUAACUGUUGUUGUCUUUGUUGUUGUUGUUAAAUCUUUUUGAAAGUUACUCAAGUUAACUUUCAUUUGAAGCCAUCAUUAAAUCAGUAAUGAUAGGUAAAGGAGCAACUGAAAUUACAUGGGACAUAAUAAAGUCAUGGAAAAGAGAAAUUUUAAAUUAGUCUAAUUUUUUAAUGUUGAAUUUUGAAAGGUAAAAUUCAUUGAUUUUUGAAAUAUAUAAUUCAGAUAAUUACUGAAUCCUUGAGUUUCAUGGAGAAACUUCUAGACUUCUAGAAAGGCUCCCUACCUGAUUAAUGUCUGCGCCACUCUAUUAUCAUUGCUGAAUUACUAUGAUUAUAAGAUUAAGUAUGUCCUAAAGCAAUUCAGAAGUUUUUAAUGUAUUCUUGUUCAUGCAGGGCUUGCCAGUACAGUAUUGAGGAGGGAUAGGGGGCUGUCUUUUAUUACCAGUCUCAUAAUAUGGACAGAUAAACUGUUUCUUUUAAGAUAGUCUGUCAUUACCAAGUGUCAAAGUGGAAGGAGUGAAGCAACUACUAAAUUAUCCUACAGGCUCCCUCCUCUUGCCAACACUCCCAUGAGUGAGCAGUGACCUCUGUCAGUGCCGGUGAAUCAUAAAAGCCACUGUUGUGGAUUCUGAGCAGAAAAAUACAUUUACAUGCCUAGAGAAAUAUAGGAUGAAACAUGUUGGUUUUAAAAAGUAAGAUACACACUAAGGAGUCUGGGAAGAAGAAAUAUUCUAAAUCUACCUUCUGAAUCCUUUCUCUUCUUUCCAGAUCUAAGCAGCAAGAGAAACCCCCUAAAUACAU